CCCCUCUGUCAACAGGCAAAGAAACACUUUGUUAGUAGUGUUGUUCUUAUAUCAGUCAGGGGCAGAACAAAUAGUAAUCCUUUGUUAAUCCUAGUUUGAUGCCUUCCUUUGUGGUCAAAGUUGCUUUAUGCCUAGGACACAUAA